rnacentral:siRNA from 1 species
GCCAAGGCCACCGUCUCCCACCCC